rnacentral:rRNA from 1 species
CCUACGGGAGGGCAGCAGUGAGGAAUUUUGCGCAAUAGGGGAAACCCUGACGCAGCAACGCCGCGUGAGUGAAGAAGGCCCUCGGGUCGUAAAGCUCUGUCAAGUGGGAAAAAAGCUUACUGGUAAAUAGCCAGCAAGACUGAUGGUACCAUUGAAGGAAGCACCGGCUAACUCCGUGCCAGCAGCCGCGGUAAUACGGAGGGUGCAAGCGUUGUUCGGAAUUACUGGGCGUAAAGGGCGUGUAGGCGGUGUGGUAAGUCAGAUGUGAAAGCCCUCGGCUCAACCGAGGAACUGCGUCCGAUACUGCCCGGCUUGAGUCCGGUAGGGGAUGGCAGAAUUCCCGGUGUAGCGGUGGAAUGCGUAGAUAUCGGGAGGAAUACCGAUGGCGAAGGCGGCCAUCUGGGCCGGAACUGACGCUGAGGCGCGAAAGCUAGGGGAGCAAACAGGAUUAGAUACCCUGGUAGUCCUAGCUGUAAACGAUGGGCACUUGAUGUCGGGGGUUUCUACCCCUCCGGCGUCGGAGCUAACGCGUUAAGUGCCCCGCCUGGGGAGUACGGUCGCAAGGCUGAAACUUAAAGGAAUGACGG